rnacentral:rRNA from 1 species
UACGUAGGUGGCAAGCGUUGUCCGGAAUUAUUGGGCGUAAAGGGUGCGUAGGCGGUUUGACAAGUCUGAUGUGAAAUCUAUGGGCUCAACCCAUAGUCUGCAUCGGAAACUGUCGGGCUUGAGUAUGGGAGAGGUGAGUGGAAUUUCCGGUGUAGCGGUGAAAUGCGUAGAUAUCGGAAGGAACACCUGUGGCGAAAGCGGCUCACUGGACCAUUACUGACGCUGAUGGCACGAAAGCUAGGGGAGCAAACAGG